GCUACCUCUGUAUUAAUGUGUGUAGGUGUAAAGUAUGAAAAUGCAUCUGCUGAAGAUGGAUUCAUGUCUCCAUAUGCUACCUCUAUAUUAAUGUGUGUAGGUGUAAAGUAUGAAAAUGCAUCUGCUGAAGAUGGAUUCAUGUCUCCAUAUGCUACCUCUGUAUCAACAGCAUUUACUAAUUAUGCGAACUUUCAUGAGAACUGUGUAAAUUCCUCUGUCACAUUAUAUAUGCAAUGGGCUCCAUAUAUUAUCAUCAUUGAGACCCUCCUGAUGAUUAUGGUUGAAAAAAUGUUCCUGAAAAUGCCCCGGGUUGCGGGAAGAAUUGAGAGAUUCUACAACAACAUUGUAGAAGAAUCCUUGUUUGGAAAGGAUCCUGAUGUAGCUGAGGAUGUUUCUGAUGACAAGGCAAACACUGAAGCAAUAUCUCGCAAAAGACGUAGAAACGAGGUCUGUAUGUCAUUAAAGACAUCAAAUGUUAUAAGUCAAUCCUAUGUUCUCAAGAACAUCAUGGAGAUCUGUAUGUUAGCAAUCAUCAUUCCAUUCAACAUAUAUUUUACAAUUGAGGCUGAAGUAAAUCUGAAUCCUAAUGUUUGUAAGCUUGAAAUACUUCAUCUUCCCGAUCUUGGCUUUGCAAAUGGUUCCGUCUAUUUCCAAUGUAUGGGUAAAAAGAUCCAGUUUUUUCUGACCAUAAUCUUGGUUCAAGUGGCUUUCCAGACUGCUGUUAUUUUUACAAGUCUUGGAUCUCUGAUUUGGUGCCUGUUUGGUAGAAGUAUCUCCAGGAUGUUGAACAAAAUUCAACAAGACGUUAAUUUCAAGGAUAUUGAACCUGUUAUUGGAUCAGACUUUAUAUUUUUGAUGGAUCUUCUUGCUCAUUCCUCAGGUCUGGAAUCUACCCUAAGAGUGUUAACCCACUCGGAUGAAACUUUCCGAAGAAUCUGUUUACCCAGGUUGACCUUUGACGCAGACCAUAUUAUGGCAGAAGAAACUAGUCUGACAAUAACUUGGUCUGCAGCUAAAAUAGAGGAAUGGUUGGUUGAGCAUUCUCAUCGAGGAAUAAUGGUUGACUGCUAUGAUGUCACCAUAUUUCCUGCUGAGUCUAUUAAGAAUACAGUCAGCAAGAAGGCAAAGCUGAAAAAAGCUCGGCAAGAGCUUUUGGACAUUGACAACAAUUACACCGCAUGCUUUACUGAUUUGGAAGGUGGUAGAACAGAAUACAUUGUAACGAUCGCCUGUGUGAUUGGCAGGUCUAGAAUGAAAGGUGAAAGAAUCGUCACAAAUCUUUUACCUUUUGGACCAGUCAAACCAAGGAAUGGAAUGUGUAAAAGUACAGAGACUCAUGAAGUGGAGAUAUCAUGGGAAACACCAAAAGGAGACUUUACCAAAUAUGUUCUUAUAGUUGAUCCUAUUCUGGAUGCUGCUAAACCAGAUGGAAGAGAAGGAAAACUGCAAUCUUCAAGUGGAAUAAGAUUUAAUGAUAGAGAAUCUGUAGAUAUGGACUUGAAUCCAAGCCUCAUGCCAAAUGGUCUGCAAGAGAUAGAAAUUAGCAGCAAAGCUACUUGUUUUUCCUUAACAAAUCUUUCUCCCGGAGAGGCUUACAAAAUAGAAUUGAAAACCAAGACCGGGGAUAAGGUGACACGAAAACCAAUAGCAGAAACAGUUUUAACCAAGCCAGAAACAAUAUCUUCACUUACAGUGUCUGAAAUCAAUACAGAUAAUAUAACUGUGAGAUGGGUUGCUCCAGUAGGUCAUUCAAGACUAAAAGCUUAUAAGCUCACAUGCCAAUCAAAGGAUCUUAGUUUCCUGCGAGAACUUUCUGUGAAGCAUAGAAGUGAAAUUCCAGUAAAUUCCUUCAAGUUUGAGAACCUUCCCCCAGCAACUGAAUUAUCAGUGAUUAUAAGCAGUGUUUGUGUUAUUGAUAACCUACAGAGCGCUUCAGAGGAAGCAAAGAUUCAUUUUAUCACUCUACCACUACCACCAAGAAGCCUAGAAUUAGAAUCAAGGUUGACCAACAGUUUUAUCGUUAAGUGGGAAGCUCCUAAAGUGACCUUUUCAGCACACAGGUUCAAACUAAGCAUCCAGUGUACAGAGAUUGGGUAUAGCAGUGAGCAUGAAGUUAAUGGGGACAAGAGAACAUUCAACUUCUCUAAACUUCCAGAUAUUAUAGGCACAGGAGAAUGUUACAAAGUCUGUAUUUCCUACAUAGUCAACCCUCCAGGUUCAAGUCUAGAGUUUGUGAAAACUUCUACACUAAACCCCUUCCUCCAACUCAAUUAAUCCUUGGACCAGGAAACCUCAUCACUUGGACUAAUUCACCUUCAAAAUAUGUUAGUUUGUAUAAGUUGAAGUAUAAGAGUAUGGAUGAAGAAGGAAGAUCUGAAGAGAUCUUUGUUCCAGUAAAGCCUGGAGAAGAAAC
rnacentral:misc_RNA from 1 species